GGAUUAUAUUUAUGUCUGAUUACACAAAUAAUUUAAAGUAUGUAUAGAUGGGUAUAAUCUAGAGCCAAGCGUGUUGAUUUUAAAUCUGAGGGUAUCCUGCUAUUGAAACACUUGUUGAAUUAUGCAAGAGAACAGGACAACAGUAAUUGAAUGCAGUCAAGACGACAUAGAGUCAACGGCCAUCCCUCGUCCCUCAUACACAGAAGACCCCCAGGCCAGAGGCAGUGGCAUCAUUCCAGGUUUCAGUUGGAACAUGCUCAAUGUUUGUUUCCAUGGUGGAAAAGAAAAACACUUAAUCAGACACGUGUCAGGUGGCCAGACCCAGGCAGGCCAGAGGUCUGGAAGACAGCGUGACAUUCCGCUAGCCACGGAGCCAUUGCAGCUGCAGUAUUCAUUGGUUUCGUAUUGGGUCUCUAUGCAGUUCUGUGGAAGUGUAUGGUCUCACCACCCCAAAGGAAGAAGAGGAGGGUGAGGGUUCGAGACAAGAGGAGCCAACUAUGCUGACUGACAAUCAGGAUCUCAUCUAGGCCAUCUGGCCAGAGGAUCCAACUCCUGCAUCAAACCCCGGCCAGUCAAACGGACCCGAAAAGAUCCACUCAUACUGACUUGAGUCUCUCAUCAGGAUGUUCCUGGACAUCAGAGAGGAAAUGGAGAUUCAGAAACAUUUGCAUAGAGCUAGGGGAUGGCAUAAUUAUGGAUCUAGCUUAUCAUGGUCAGAGGAUGGACCGGAAUCUAAGGAUCCGGUCAAAUGGAUCUAAAAGGAUCUUCUAAAUUGCCUUAAGAGGAUCCACUCAAAUGGCUAAAGGAUCCAACUGAAGUGUGUCAGAGAGCAUGAACAAACAAUCUAAAUCAGUUAAGCUGGGGUCUGCAGACCCAUCAAACUUGUAAACAUUUUUGUAUGUAAAAAAAUAACAGGUCAAACACAUUUUUGCCAAGAGAUCUGUUGAAUUAGUUUAGAGUGUAAAUACAAUAAAAUGUCAUAUUAUUAAUAUACAAUUUAUGUUCUUAAACCCUGGACAACGUGGGCCUGGGAGGCUCACAGGGAUAUUGGCAUCUACAGUACUCACCAAUUAUACAUUUUUCAACUCAAUAACCCAUAGUGUGUGUGUAUAUAUUUUAAACUGCAGUUUUCUUUCUGUCUCAUGGGAAAAUGUGUAGAAUUGCAGAAUAUUAGUGCUAAAGCCGCAACAACACAAACUCUUUGCCCCAUGACAAAAUAUGUCAAGAGGCUGGCCUUUUAAAAUGUUCCUCCCCAGGACCGAGCCUUGGUUCGUCCGGCCAUACACUGAAGUCAUAGUAAAACACCGUGUAUGCUAUUUUUCUCACUCGAGUUGUUCUGAUUGAGUGGGUCCCUUUAUAUAUUUGCUAUCACAAAAGAGGUGCCGGACCCCAAUACUUUGAGAGAGCCUGAUCUAAAUGAUUCUAGGAUCCACUGUAUGCCACAGUGCUAUGCCUGCGUGAGAUGCUGACUUUAACUGAAGCGUAGCUAUACUGUUGUCUGCAGGUCACUGACAGUUGACAGUGAAAUCUGUACUACUGAGGAAGGAGGCAGCACAG
rnacentral:lncRNA from 13 species